rnacentral:tRNA from 1 species
GCGAGGGUGGCGAAAUUGGUAGACGCACCAGGUUUAGGUCCUGACGCCCUCAACAGGCGUAGGGGUUCGAGUCCCCUCCCUCGCACCA